GGGUUGUGAGGUUAAGCGACUAAGCGUACACGGUGGAUGCCCUGGCAGUCAGAGGCGAUGAAGGACGUGCUAAUCUGCGAAAAGCGUCGGUAAGGUGAUAUGAACCGUUACAGCCGGCGAUGUCCGAAUGGGGAAACCCAGUGCAAUUCGUUGCACUAUCGUUAACUGAAUACAUAGGUUAACGAGGCGAACCGGGGGAACUGAAACAUCUAAGUACCCCGAGGAAAAGAAAUCAACCGAGAUUCCCCCAGUAGCGGCGAGCGAACGGGGAGCAGCCCAGAGUCUGAAUCAGCUUGUGUGUUAGUGGAACGGUCUGGAAAGUCCGACGGUACAGGGUGAUAGUCCCGUACACCAAAAUGCACAGGUUGUGAACUCGAAGAGUAGGGCGGGACACGUGGUAUCCUGUCUGAAUAUGGGGGGACCAUCCUCCAAGGCUAAAUACUCCUGACUGACCGAUAGUGAACCAGUACCGUGAGGGAAAGGCGAAAAGAACCCCGGCGAGGGGAGUGAAAAAGAACCUGAAACCGUGUACGUACAAGCAGUGGGAGCACCUUCGGGUGUGACUGCGUACCUUUUGUAUAAUGGGUCAGCGACUUAUAUUCUGUAGCAAGGUUAACCGUAUAGGGGAGCCGCAGGGAAACCGAGUCUUAACUGGGCGUUAAGUUGCAGGGUAUAGACCCGAAACCCGGUGAUCUAGCCAUGGGCAGGUUGAAGGUUGGGUAACACUAACUGGAGGACCGAACCGACUAAUGUUGAAAAAUUAGCGGAUGACUUGUGGCUGGGGGUGAAAGGCCAAUCAAACCGGGAGAUAGCUGGUUCUCCCCGAAAGCUAUUUAGGUAGCGCCUCGUGAACUCAUCUUCGGGGGUAGAGCACUGUUUCGGCUAGGGGGUCAUCCCGACUUACCAACCCGAUGCAAACUACGAAUACCGAAGAAUGUUAUCACGGGAGACACACGGCGGGUGCUAACGUCCGUCGUGAAGAGGGAAACAACCCAGACCGCCAGCUAAGGUCCCAAAGUCAUGGUUAAGUGGGAAACGAUGUGGGAAGGCACAGACAGCCAGGAUGUUGGCUUAGAAGCAGCCAUCAUUUAAAGAAAGCGUAAUAGCUCACUGGUCGAGUCGGCCUGCGCGGAAGAUGUAACGGGGCUAAACCAUGCACCGAAGCUGCGGCAGCGACGCUUAUGCGUUGUUGGGUAGGGGAGCGUUCUGUAAGCCUGCGAAGGUGACCUGUGAGGGUUGCUGGAGGUAUCAGAAGUGCGAAUGCUGACAUAAGUAACGAUAAAGCGGGUGAAAAGCCCGCUCGCCGGAAGACCAAGGGUUCCUGUCCAACGUUAAUCGGGGCAGGGUGAGUCGACCCCUAAGGCGAGGCCGAAAGGCGUAGUCGAUGGGAAACAGGUUAAUAUUCCUGUACUUGGUGUUACUGCGAAGGGGGGACGGAGAAGGCUAUGUUAGCCGGGCGACGGUUGUCCCGGUUUAAGCAUGUAGGCUGGUUGUCCAGGCAAAUCCGGAUAAUCAAGGCUGAGGUGUGAUGACGAGGCACUACGGUGCUGAAGUAACAAAUGCCCUGCUUCCAGGAAAAGCCUCUAAGCAUCAGGUAACAUUAAAUCGUACCCCAAACCGACACAGGUGGUCAGGUAGAGAAUACCAAGGCGCUUGAGAGAACUCGGGUGAAGGAACUAGGCAAAAUGGUGCCGUAACUUCGGGAGAAGGCACGCUGGUGUGUAGGUGAAGUCCCUGCGGAUGGAGCUGAGACCAGUCGAAGAUACCAGCUGGCUGCAACUGUUUAUUAAAAACACAGCACUGUGCAAACACGAAAGUGGACGUAUACGGUGUGACGCCUGCCCGGUGCCGGAAGGUUAAUUGAUGGGGUUAUCCGUAAGGAGAAGCUCUUGAUCGAAGCCCCGGUAAACGGCGGCCGUAACUAUAACGGUCCUAAGGUAGCGAAAUUCCUUGUCGGGUAAGUUCCGACCUGCACGAAUGGCGUAAUGAUGGCCAGGCUGUCUCCACCCGAGACUCAGUGAAAUUGAACUCGCUGUGAAGAUGCAGUGUACCCGCGGCAAGACGGAAAGACCCCGUGAACCUUUACUAUAGCUUGACACUGAACAUUGAGCCUUGAUGUGUAGGAUAGGUGGGAGGCUUUGAAGCGUGGACGCCAGUCUGCGUGGAGCCAACCUUGAAAUACCACCCUUUAAUGUUUGAUGUUCUAACGUUGGCCCCUUACCGGGGUUGCGGACAGUGUCUGGUGGGUAGUUUGACUGGGGCGGUCUCCUCCCAAAGCGUAACGGAGGAGCACGAAGGUUAGCUAAUCCUGGUCGGACAUCAGGAGGUUAGUGCAAUGGCAUAAGCUAGCUUGACUGCGAGCGUGACGGCGCGAGCAGGUGCGAAAGCAGGUCAUAGUGAUCCGGUGGUUCUGAAUGGAAGGGCCAUCGCUCAACGGAUAAAAGGUACUCCGGGGAUAACAGGCUGAUACCGCCCAAGAGUUCAUAUCGACGGCGGUGUUUGGCACCUCGAUGUCGGCUCAUCACAUCCUGGGGCUGAAGUAGGUCCCAAGGGUAUGGCUGUUCGCCAUUUAAAGUGGUACGCGAGCUGGGUUUAGAACGUCGUGAGACAGUUCGGUCCCUAUCUGCCGUGGGCGCUGGAGAAUUGAGGGGGGCUGCUCCUAGUACGAGAGGACCGGAGUGGACGCAUCACUGGUGUUCGGGUUGUCAUGCCAAUGGCACUGCCCGGUAGCUAAAUGCGGAAGAGAUAAGUGCUGAAAGCAUCUAAGCACGAAACUUGCCCCGAGAUGAGUUCUCCCUGAGACUUUAAGUCUCCUGAAGGAACGUUAAAGACGAUGACGUUGAUAGGCCGGGUGUGUAAGCGCAGCGAUGCGUUGAGCUAACCGGUACUAAUGAACCGUGAGGCUUAACCUUACAACGCCGAAG
rnacentral:rRNA from 1 species